rnacentral:rRNA from 1 species
UACGUAGGGUGCAAGCGUUGUCCGGAAUUAUUGGGCGUAAAGAGCUCGUAGGCGGUCUGUCGCGUCGGCUGUGAAAACUCGGGGCUCAACUCCGAGCCUGCAGUCGAUACGGGCAGACUAGAGUGCGGUAGGGGAGACUGGAAUUCCUGGUGUAGCGGUGAAAUGCGCAGAUAUCAGGAGGAACACCGGUGGCGAAGGCGGGUCUCUGGGCCGUAACUGACGCUGAGGAGCGAAAGCGUGGGGGGCGAACAGG